rnacentral:rRNA from 1 species
AGACUGAACGCUGGCGGCAGGCCUAACACAUGCAAGUCGAGCGGUAGAGAGGUGCUUGCACCUCUUGAGAGCGGCGGACGGGUGAGUAAUGCCUAGGAAUCUGCCUAGUGGUGGGGGAUAACGUUCGGAAACGGACGCUAAUACCGCAUACGUCCUACGGGAGAAAGGCGGGGGACCUUCGGGCCUCGCGCCAUUAGAUGAGCCUAGGUCGGAUUAGCUAGUUGGUGAGGUAAUGGCUCACCAAGGCGACGAUCCGUAACUGGUCUGAGAGGAUGAUCAGUCACACUGGAACUGAGACACGGUCCAGACU